CAGCCGCCGCGGUAAAACGAAGGGGGCUAGCGUUGUUCGGAAUUACUGGGCGUAAAGCGCACGUAGGCGGAUAUUUAAGUCAGGGGUGAAAUCCCAGAGCUCAACUCUGGAACUGCCUUUGAUACUGGGUAUCUUGAGUAUGGAAGAGGUGAGUGGAAUUCCGAGUGUAGAGGUGAAAUUCGUAGAUAUUCGGAGGAACACCAGUGGCGAAGGCGGCUCACUGGUCCAUUACUGACGCUGAGGUGCGAAAGCGUGGGGAGCAAACAGGAUUAGAUACCCCCGUAGUCCCUGUCUCUUAUAC
rnacentral:rRNA from 1 species